rnacentral:lncRNA from 1 species
GAGAAGUUGUAGUUGAAAGUCCUGGUCGGAGUGUUGCGUGAGAAGGUCUCUGCACAGAUGCCAAAUAACCCUCUGGACCAGACAGUCACCAACCUCUCUUACCUGCCAACUAAAGAGGAGACUUGUCAGUGACUGAGUCCUGGACCCUGGAAAUUAAGCCCUGCUAACCCUCCACAGUCACAGCCUGGAUGGGUGUCCUCCAGGACUCCAACCUAGGAGUAUGCUAGGGGGAGCACUCGGGUAUCAGCCUCUCAAGAACCCUACCCAGGACCCAGCAUCUUCUGAGGUCAUCCAAGCAGAGGGUCAGGUUUAGGAUGCAUGCCAGACUACAGUGAUGCUGUGAGGAGGAAGAAUUUGAAUAGCACGUGACUAAUGGCUGGGAGAAGCUAUACGGGAGAGAGAGCAGUCGGUAAAUCAACAUGGGCAGCAACUUGAAAAACGUGAUAGCAUUGGGUUACCUCGGUCAAACUGUACCCUCUGUUCUCAACUGACAUUUGAAAUGAAAUGAAACACAACCCCGGAAGCCCUCUCCUCUACAAUAUUCCAAAAUACGUGGGAUUCGGAUAUGGCCAAGCUGGCCUGGACUCCCCUGGGCUUUGGAUUCCUCACCUAAAUCCUGGCACAACCAGAGUGAGAAUCAUGAAGUCAUUGUCUGAGGCUCCAGCAGCUGUGUAAAUGUGAUCACCAGCCACCUCCCAGCCUGAAAAGGAAAGAGGAGAGUUAAUGCCUUGUGCUCUUGGGUGCAAGGCAAAUGUGCACCCAGAUGACACUCUGGAAGGGAGGUUUGACACCAUCUUUUGAGGCGCCCAGAACCACCACUGAACAUGAACCGUGUUACUUAUCCUGCCACUUUGGUCAAAAACCCUGAAGCUCUCAGAGCAAGACCUUUGAAGUGCACGCUCAUGUUUCUAGCUCUGUUCCUUCCUCUAAAGCUGUCUUGGCAGAACAUAUGUCCAUGAGGAGUGGAACUUUCAAGGGAAUGCAUGACAUGGUUAGCUUAUUUUUCUCAGACAUCACUAUUAUGAAGAAAUGUGAAGUUGGAAGAACUGAGGGUGUGCAGGGAGCUGACAGCUCAUGGCACAGGGAGAGGCAAUUACCUGUCAUGCCCUUGUACUCGAAGUUGAUCCCACUGAGAACGGUCGUUUCCAUGUUUGUGGGCAGCGUGUUCCACCAUUUGUAUUCAAAUCCCACAGCAGGUUCAGUCCCUGCAGGGCAGCGGGUACAGUCUGGGGAACCACAAACAAGAUCCAUGCAUUCAGUGGGAAGGCUGCAGUCACUCUGACUGGAGCUGCUGCCACACAGACAAGUUGCAACAGUAGCGGGCAGCCCAGAAGCCUGGCUGCUGAGUACUGCUGCAGGAAGUUGUAUCAAGUUGACUCAAAAACAUUCUGACAAUGUAUUUAACUCAAGAUGUAAACACUGAGCCUUCAUUCCAAUAUGCCAACCAUCCUAUUUGCCCACCCCAAUUUCCAUUUCAAAACUUAAAUGUACCUUCUAGUCUGAUACAUAUAGUUCAUAUUAUUGUCAUAUUAUCAUUAAAUGCUUUCAUUUUAACAGGUACUCAAAUCCCCC